rnacentral:rRNA from 1 species
GGGGAAUUUUGGACAAUGGGCGCAAGCCUGAUCCAGCCAUGCCGCGUGCGGGAAGAAGGCCUUCGGGUUGUAAACCGCUUUUGUCAGGGAAGAAACGCUCUGGGCUAAUACCCUGGGGUAAUGACGGUACCUGAAGAAUAAGCACCGGCUAACUACGUGCCAGCAGCCGCGGUAAUACGUAGGGUGCAAGCGUUAAUCGGAAUUACUGGGCGUAAAGCGUGCGCAGGCGGUUAUGCAAGACAGAUGUGAAAUCCCCGGGCUUAACCUGGGAACUGCAUUUGUGACUGCAUAGCUGGAGUACGGCAGAGGGGGAUGGAAUUCCGCGUGUAGCAGUGAAAUGCGUAGAUAUGCGGAGGAACACCGAUGGCGAAGGCAAUCCCCUGGGCCUGUACUGACGCUCAUGCACGAAAGCGUGGGGAGCAAACAGGA